AGAGUUUGAUCCUGGCUCAGAAUCAACGCUGGCGGCGUGCCUAACACAUGCAAGUCGAACGAGAAAGUGGUAGCAAUACCAUGAGUAAAGUGGCGCACGGGUGAGUAACACGUGACUAACCUACCCUUGAGUGGGGGAUAACUGAGGGAAACCUUAGCUAAUACCGCAUAAUACCCACGGGUCAAAGGAGCAAUUCGCUCGAGGAGGGGGUCGCGGCCGAUUAGUUAGUUGGCGGGGUAAUGGCCCACCAAGACGAUGAUCGGUAUCCGGCCUGAGAGGGCGCACGGACACACUGGAACUGAAACACGGUCCAGACUCCUACGGGAGGCAGCAGUGGGGAAUUUUGCGCAAUGGGGGAAACCCUGACGCAGCAACGCCGCGUGGAGGAUG
rnacentral:rRNA from 1 species